CGGUGGAGUAUGUGGUUAAUUCGAUGCAACGCGAAGAACCUUACCUGGUCUUGACAUCCCGGAGACCCUUAGGAAACUAGGGGGUGCUUCCAUCUGGAAGAAUCUGGAGACAGGUGCUGCAUGGCUGUCGUCAGCUCGUGUCGUGAGAUGUUGGGGUUAAGUCCCGCAACGAGCGCAACCCUUGCCUUUAGUUGCCAGCAGUUCGGCUGGGCACUCUAAAGGGACUGCCGGUGUUAAACCGGAGGAAGGUGGGGAUGACGUCAAGUCCUCAUGGCCUUUAUGACCAGGGCUACACACGUACUACAAUGGCCGAUACAAAGGGCAGCGACACUGCGAGGUGAAGCCAAUCCCGUAAAAUCGGUCUCAGUCCGGAUUGGAGUCUGCAACUCGACUCCAUGAAGUUGGAAUCGCUAGUAAUCGUGGAUCAGCAUGCCACGGUGAAUACGUUCCCGGGCCUU
rnacentral:rRNA from 1 species